rnacentral:rRNA from 1 species
GGUUGCAAAGCUGAAACUUAAAGGAAUUGACGGAAGGGCACCACCAGGAGUGGAGCCUGCGGCUUAAUUUGACUCAACACGGGAAAACUUACCUGGCCCGGACACUGGAAGGAUUGACAGAUUAAGAGCUCUUUCUUGAUUCAGUGGGUGGUGGUGCAUGGCCGUUCUUAGUUGGUGGAGCGAUUUGUCUGGUUAAUUCCGAUAACGAACGAGACUCUAGCCUACUAAAUAGGGGACCGAUCAAUUGUUGUCGGUCCGUCUUCUUAGAGGGACAAGCGGCUUUUAGCCGCACGAGACAGAGCAAUAACAGGUCUGUGAUGCCCUUAGAUGUCCGGGGCCGCACGCGCGCUACACUGAAGGAAGCAGCGUGCUCAUCGCUGUCCGGCAGGACUGCGUAACCCCUAUAACCUCCUUCGUGAUAGGGAUAGGGGCUUGUAAUUGUUCCCCUUGAACGAGGAAUUCCCAGUAAGCGCGAGUCAUAAGCUCGUGUUGAUUACGUCCCUGCCCUUUGUACACACCGCCCGUCGCUACUACCGAUUGAAUGAUUUAGUGAGGUCUUCGGACUGGCGCUCGGAGCGACCUUCGGGUUGCGCCGGCGUGCCGGAAAGAUGACCAAACUUGAUCAUUUAGAGGAAGUAAAAGUCGUAACAAGGUUUCC